CUUCACCGACCCCAACCACAACGGCUCCGAACGCUCCUGACCAUAAGUCGCCAACACAGCCUGCGCCUC
rfam:Saccharothrix sp. NRRL B-16348 P442contig10.1, whole genome shotgun sequence.